rnacentral:rRNA from 1 species
ACUCGGUAAGGAUCCUUCCGUAGCUGAACCUGCGGCAGGAUCAUUA